rnacentral:rRNA from 1 species
CCUACGGGAGGCAGCAGUGAGGAAUAUUGGUCAAUGGACGAGAGUCUGAACCAGCCAAGUAGCGUGAAGGAUGACUGCCCUAUGGGUUGUAAACUUCUUUUAUAUGGGAAUAAAAUGUUCCACGUGUGGGAUUUUGUAUGUACCAUAUGAAUAAGGAUCGGCUAACUCCGUGCCAGCAGCCGCGGUAAUACGGAGGAUCCGAGCGUUAUCCGUAUUUAUUGGGUUUAAAGGGAGCGUAGGUGGAUUGUUAAGUCAGUUGUGAAAGUUUGCGGCUCAACCGUAAAAUUGCAGUUGAAACUGGCAGUCUUGAGUACAGUAGAGGUGGGCGGAAUUCGUGGUGUAGCGGUGAAAUGCUUAGAUAUCACGAAGAACUCCGAUUGCGAAGGCAGUUCACUGGACUGCAACUGACACUGAGGCUCGAAAGUGUGGGUAUCAAACAGGAUUAGAUACCCCUGUAGUC